UGGUCAAGCACAACUCUAAACUUCCAUAAGCAUCAAUACAUUACAUUUCUAUAUUAUACUUUUACAUUACAUCAUAUUCAUGUCCACAGCUAACUAUUACAUAAAACAUGACUCUACUCCUGCUGACCUCCUGGUCUACCCUGUACCUGCAAACCUGGGGGUUAAGGGAGAGGGGUGAGCUAUAAAGCUCAGUGAGCAGAAUAAAUAAACAUUCAAUUUAAAUUUCAUGCUUUCAUGAAAUGCAACACAUCACAAACAAAUCACAUCAAGGAUGGAUUUGUCACCAAUAGUCCUCUACAUAGUCCAAUCGUGCUAGGGGCGUAGAAUGGGUCUCACUAGUCUUUCUCUUAACAUAACAUAACAUAGCAUAACAUUCCAUAGUGCUAGGGGCGUAGAAUGGGCCUCACUGGUCUUUCUCUUAACAUAGUGCCAGGGGCGUAGAAUGGGCCUUACUGGUCUUCCAUACCGUAUCAUUAUCAUAUCAUAUCAUACGAGGACUAAAGGAUCAUUCAACAUCCAUCCACAUCAUCAUCAAGUUAUGCAAUGCAAUAUAUUCGUGAAUUCUAAUGCAAAUAACCUAGUAUAUCUCAUGGCAUACGUGAUGCAUGUAUCAUGCUCAAAAUUUAUUUAUUUGCUUUGAAACGUGAAGAGUUAUUCCACUCACCUCUGGCUGAAGCUCUAAUGACUCUGAAGCAGCUAUCUCACUGCAGAGGUCCUCGGUUCCUCGGGUCCGAACC
rnacentral:lncRNA from 1 species